rnacentral:rRNA from 1 species
UAACUGAAGAGUUUGAUCAUGGCUCAGAUUGAACGCUGGCGGCAGGCUUAACACAUGCAAGUCGAGCGGUAACAGAGGAGCUUGCUCCUGCUGACGAGCGGCGGACGGGUGAGUAACGCGUAGGAAUCUGCCUAGUAGAGGGGGACAACAUGUGGAAACGCAUGCUAAUACCGCAUACGCCCUACGGGGGAAAGGAGGGGAUC